rnacentral:rRNA from 1 species
GUGGAUUAGAUACCCUGGUAGUCCUAGCCGUAAACGAUGGAUACUAGGUGUUGGUGGUAUCAACCCCGCCAGUGCCGUAGCUAACGCAUUAAGUAUCCCGCCUGGGGAGUACGGCCGCAAGGCUAAAACUCAAAGGAAUUGACGGGGGCCCGCACAAGCAGCGGAGCGUGGGGUUUAAUUCGAUGCGACGCGAAGAACCUUACCAGGGUUUGACAUGGCUAUGAAGUCGGCGGAAACGUCGGCGCCCCGCAAGGGGCAUAGUCACAGGUGUUGCAUGGCCGUCGCCAGCU